rnacentral:lncRNA from 1 species
UAUAGUAUGUUGAGAGUAUUUUUCUUUCUCCUCCUAUUUUUCCUUAAUGUUUGUCCAUGAUCUUUAGCUCAGAGGGAACGUGUGUGUUGCUGUAAGAGGCACCAGAGAAAGGUGUUGAGCAAAUGAGCACAAAUCUGCUGCAAGAGGCUGCAGAGCUUGUCUGCCUGGACACCUGCCACAGCAGACAUCAUUCAAGGCUGGCAGCUGAGACACUGUGACCUUGGCUAUGACAUGGAGAUCUCCAAAUGGAGCAGAACUCAGCUUUCCUGUCAGACUCCUCUCCAAUCUGUGCUGUUCAUCACACACUCCAACAACUCUUCUUUUGAAGCUUGAUUUGGUGAAUUUAUUUAACCUUGUACACACCAGGAAUUGCGCAGAGCAGCGGAACGACGUUAACUUGACCCUCAUCUUGGAGGGACCCUCUGAGCAGCAGAGACUUGGAGCAAGCUGGAAGAGCUGCUGGAUGCUGGGGCUGGUGUUGUGGAGUGGCAG